GGCAGUGUAGCACAGUGGUUAAGAGCCAGGCUUGUAACCAAAAGGUUGCUGGUUCGAUUCCCCACCGGGCCACAGCUG